UACGUAGGUGGCAAGCGUUGUCCGGAUUUACUGGGCGUAAAGAGCGCGCAGGCGGUCGUUCAAGUCGCGUGUGAAAGCCCCCGGCUCAACUGGGGAGGGUCACGCGAUACUGAUCGACUGGAAGGCAGGAGAGGGUAGUGGAGUUCCCGGUGUAGUGGUGAAAUGCGUAGAUAUCGGGAGGAACACCAGUGGCGAAGGCGGCGACCUGGGUCGAUACUGACGCUGAUGCGCGAAAGCGUGGGGAGCAAACAGG
rnacentral:rRNA from 1 species